GAUGAACGCUGGCGGCGUGCCUAAUACAUGCAAGUCGAGCGAACAGACGAGGAUUUUGCUCUUCUGACGUUAGCGGCGGACGGGUGAGUAACACGUGGAUAACCUACCUAUCAGACUUGGACAACUUCGGGAAACCGGAGCUAAUACCGGAUAAUAUAUCCAACCGCAUGGUUCAAUAGUGAUAUAUGGUUUUGCUGUCACUUAUAGAUGUAUCCGCGCCGUUUUAGCUAGUUGGUAAGGUAACGGCUUACCAAGGCAACGAUGGGUAGCCGACGUGAGAGAGUGGUCGCCCGCACGAGAGCGGAACCGCGGUCCAGACUACUACGAGAGGCAGCAGUAGGGAAUCUUAGGCAGUGGGCGGAAGCCUGGCGGAGCAGCGGCAAGUGAGUGAUGGAGGCGUUCGGUUCGUAAAACUGUGUUAUGGGGGAAAAACAAAUGUGUGAAGAGAUAUACCCGUAUUGACGGUACCUGAACAGAAAGCAACGGCUAACUACGUG
rnacentral:rRNA from 1 species